GAGGGAUCAUUGCUGGAACGCGCCCCAGGCGCACCCAGAAACCCUUUGUGAACUUAUACCUUACUGUUGCCUCGGCGCAUGCCGGCCCCCCUGGGGGCCCCUCCUUCUGGAGGAGCAGGCACGCCGGCGGCCAACCUAACUCUUGUUUUUACACUGAAACUCUGAGAAUAAAACAUAAAUGAAUCAAAACUUUCAACAACGGAUCUCUUGGUUCUGGCAUCGAUGAAGAACGCAGCGAAAUGCGAUAAGUAAUGUGAAUUGCAGAAUUCAGUGAAUCAUCGAAUCUUUGAACGCACAUUGCGCCCUCUGGUAUUCCGGAGGGCAUGCCUGUUCGAGCGUCAUUUCAACCCUCAAGCCUGGCUUGGUGAUGGGGCACUGCUUUUACCCAAAAGCAGGCCCUGAAAUUCAGUGGCGAGCUCGCCAGGACCCCGAGCGCAGUAGUUAAACCCUCGCUUUGGAAGGCCCUGGCGGUGCCCUGCCGUUAAACCCCCAACUUCUGAAAAUUUGACCUCGGAUCAGGUAGGAAUACCCGCUGAACUUAA
rnacentral:rRNA from 1 species